rnacentral:rRNA from 1 species
GUCUGAAAAAUUUUACUAUUAAAAAAUAGCGAAAAAACUUUCAACAACGGAUCUCUUGGUUCUGGCAUCGAUGAAGAACGCAGCGAAAUGCGAUAAGUAAUGUGAAUUGCAGAAUUCAGUGAAUCAUCGAAUCUUUGAACGCACAUUGCGCCCCCUGGUAUUCCGGCGGGCAUGCUUGUUCGAGCGUCAUU